GAUGAACGCUGGCGGCGUGCCUAAUACAUGCAAGUCGAGCGAACGGACGAGAAGCUUGCUUCUCUGAUGUUAGCGGCGGACGGGUGAGUAACACGUGGAUAACCUACCUAUAAGACUGGGAUAACUUCGGGAAACCGGAGCUAAUACCGGAUGAUAUUUUGAACCGCAUGGUUCAAAAGUGAAAGACGGUCUUGCUGUCACUUAUAGAUGGAUCCGCGCUGCAUUAGCUAGUUGGUAAGGUAACGGCUUACCAAGGCAACGAUGCAUAGCCGACCUGAGAGGGUGAUCGGCGACACUGGAACUGAGACACGGUCCAGACUCCUACGGGAGGCAGCAGUAGGGAAUCUGCCGCAAUGGGCGAAAGCCUGACGGAGCAACGCCGCGUGAGUGAUGAAGGUCUUCGGAUCGUAAAACUCUGUUAUUAGGGAAGAACAUAUGUGUAAGUAACUGUGCACAUCUUGACGGUACCUAAUCAGAAAGCCACGGCUAACUACGUG
rnacentral:rRNA from 1 species